UAUGACGGCCAGAGCGGCGGGGAUACACCCGGUCCCAUCUGAACCCGGAAGUUAAGUCCGCCUGCGUUUCAUGUUGUACUGCGGUGCGCGAGCCCGCGGGAACCAUGAGACGCUGUCAGCC
rfam:Candidatus Methanomassiliicoccus intestinalis Issoire-Mx1, complete genome.